AAAAAAAACAGAAAGUAAAAUUCCAAAUGCAAUCACUUCCUCCAAGUUUCUUAGAGAAAAAAAACAGUGGAUUUGUGGUGAGUCUCAAGUCUCAACUAUUUUCAUUACAUCUGAUAUGAUCUUCUUUUUUAUGCUAUUUUCCUCUUUUAUCCAGUCUUAUUUGAUUUAUUUGAUCUCAGUGUUCGUUUCCUAUUUUAUUCAUAUUUUCUCAUCUUUAUGAGUUCUUUUUUCUCCAUUGAUCCACCCCUCUUCCCAAAAAGGUAAAUUUUUCUCUUCUUUUCCUUUUACUGCUUAUACGUUAACGUAGCAUUGAUUUCAUGUGUAUUUUUUAUUUUUCAUUUCACUUGCUGGAACUACUUGUAUCUCGCUGUCUCCUUUACCCAUUACCAGUUUAUAAUUAGCAACUCACUUUUUACAUUGAAACAUUCUCAUGCUUACUCUUAUCUAUGCUUAAUGGUUUUCUUUGUAAUAUUAGGUAGAGAAUUGCAAGACAUCAUGAAAUUUUUUACUAUUUGGAAUGAGUCAACUCAACUUCGUUGGAGCAAGAAGUGAUAAAGAAAGAAAAUGUAAGCAUAUGUUGAUGGAAUAGAGAAUAUGAUGAUUUUGAAGGUAACGGGGAAUAGAAUAUGCUUAAAAGUUGAGGAAUGCAAGAUUAAUCUUGAGAAAAUAUAAGGAACCUUCCUUCACUACUUGCCUUUUUUUGUUUUUUGAUUAUUUUUUUACUUGGAAUGCAAAAGCUAUAAAUGAUGUAACUUGGAAGGUAUUGUAUUUGUUCUUAAUAAAACAAUAUUUUUAUUUGCUUAUAAAAUGGUUCAUACUCCCAUUAAAGAAAAAAGAAUUGGUUCAGAUUACGCUUGGUGAAGUUUGUAUUUUUACCACAAGAAAAAAAAGAGAUUUCUAACAUUUACUUUUAUUCUCUUCUUUGGUAGGCCCGUUCUGAUUGACAAAGAAACAAAAUUGGUGCAAGAUGAUAACUCAAGGACCAUAAUUGUAUACAUUAUAUUUCUAUUGAUCAAUCUAUGUCAAGAGAAAAGAUUUCUUCCUCUCUUCCUACAAUAAACACUUUUAUGAUUGAUCAAUUAGGAGAGAUUGAUUAAUUCCCCAUAGGGUAUAGUAUUAAAGCUUUUCAAUUCAGACUUUCUUCUUUGUCAGACGCUGCUGGUGACGCCAGUGCCCAUGAGGACGUCAAUGUGGCCAACAUAGUAAAGGUACAUAGUAGUAAGGGUUUUCAGUAUUGAUCAUAUAUAUAUUUUGCACAAUUCUAAAAUUAUAUUUGCACUUUUGGAAACCAUUGUUA
rnacentral:lncRNA from 1 species